AAUGAACGCUGGCGGCAGGCCUAACACAUGCAAGUCGAACGGAGUUAUAUUGUAGCUUGCUAUGGUAUAACUUANUGGCAGACGGGUGAGUAAUGUAUAGGAAUCUACCUAGUAGUACGGAAUAAUUGUUGGAAACGGCAACUAAUACCGUAUACGCCCUACGGGGGAAAAAUUUAUUGCUAUUAGAUGAGCCUAUAUUAGAUUAGUUAGUUGGUGAGGUAAAGGCUUACCAAGACAAUGAUCUAUAGCUGAUCUGAGAGGAUGAUCAGCCACACUGGAACUGAGAUACGGUCCAGACUCCUACGGGAGGCA
rnacentral:rRNA from 2 species